UACGGGGGGGGCAAGCGUUGUUCGGAAUUACUGGGCGUAAAGGGCUCGUAGGUGGCCAACUAAGUCAGACGUGAAAUCCCUCGGCUUAACCGGGGAACUGCGUCUGAUACUGGAUGGCUUGAGUUUGGGAGAGGGAUGCGGAAUUCCAGGUGUAGCGGUGAAAUGCGUAGAUAUCUGGAGGAACACCGGUGGCGAAGGCGGCAUCCUGGACCGAUAUUGACGCUGAGGAGCGAAAGCUAGGGGAGCAAACGGG
rnacentral:rRNA from 1 species